CUUCUUAUCAAUGAGUUUGUUCCGUGUUUAAAGAAAAUAUUCACUUGAAAUUUAUGUAUUUACAGGACUGAAACGUAUAUUAACUAUGCUCUUGGAAAAAGAGCUAUUGCCUGAAUUUAGUGAUGAAGAUUCAAAAAAACUAAUUCGGCUACUUUUUGCGUCAACUGGGAAGGCAAUUUUGGAGAAGAUUUUUCCUGCUAGUGAUAAUAAAAAGAAAUAUCUCACCAAAUCACAAAAGGGGAGAUUCUUAAGUUCUUGUUGUUGAUACUCUCUGAGACUUACUAAAUGUUAUAUUCUAUCUUCAAACUUCAUAAUUUACUCCAGAUAAUGGAUUCCAAGAAGGUUCUGGUGAAACAAUAAGUUGGUGAUGAUUCUGCAACCUACUAGAUAGAUCUGUACUAUUUUAGUGGUGUGUUUGUGCUUCAAUUUUUCUUGAAAUUUCAUUCUUGUCUUAAGUCAGGUUAGUUUGUCAGAUACAUCCAAAUUAGUGAUUAGUAUUAUCUAGUGGAAGAGGUGCCAUUUUUGUAUAUUAUCAUGUUAUCAUAUUUAAUGUUUUUCUAACAACAUUAAGACGUUUUAUUAUGGUUGGAGUUCGAUAAUAGAUGUUGAUGUACCAUGGAACAUAGACGGUAAAUGUGUCUAUUAUAACCCAACAAGAACGUCUAGGAUUUGUCUUCUUAUAAAUGUCAUCCUAGUCACAUAAUCUAGAGAAUUUCAGAUUGCAAUCACCCUUGAACUGACUCAUUACCCUGCACUUGGUUCCCUAGCAAACAUUCCUCCCUAGAUACAAACCCUACUGAUUCCUUACCAAUUCCCAUAUCUCCCAAAGUUUUAUGUUAGGUUGAGAUACAAUCUUUUCUUGAAAUUUAUGUCCAAUGUACAAAAAAGUGCAUACUUGUUCUUGUUUUUAAUAGGGAAGCGAUGAAAUGGGUGAUACUUCUUCACAAUAAAGUCACCAGAAUUUCUGUAAGUGCUUGCAUAUAUCUCCCAUUUGCAUAGUAUUUUUCUUUUGCAUUUAGCUCUAAUUUUGUGCUUCUCAUUAGGCUUAAGUUUGAGGUGCACUUCGUUGUCUUUUUCACAGCUAAGAGUGAGUUUUCCUAUUUUACACUUUACUCCUCUGGUUUCACGACCACCAUACACUCACUCCUAUUCUUUUCUUUCUUUGUCCGUAAGAAACUAAGAGAAAACCAAAGAAAAUCAAACCUCCAUUUUAAUUUCAUUCAUCUUUUCCUCUGUAAAAAAAUCUAGUGUUUUUUGCAGUAAAGUUUGAACAAACAUUUCUCAUCUAUGUUGUAUGUUUCUUGGAGUUACUUCUUGAUCGACAAGCAGUAGAAGAGUGGGGACUUUUUUUAUCGAAACUUUAUCUGUUUUGGUUUUCAACUUUGUAUUAUAUUAAGUUUAGGCAGAUCAGAUCCACGUGUUCUUCAUUAUUUAGAUUGUUAGAAGAGGGGAAACUAACAUAGAUAUAUGUGUAUUAGAUUUCAAUACAUUGAAAUAUUUACAAUUUCUUGUCAAUUUUUUAUGUAGGGAUAACAUGAAAAAAAAUUCAUUUUAGUAGAGUUCCUGCUUAUUUUGGGGGAUUUCUAGUGUCUUCUAAGAUAAGCCAAUGAUUUUGCUUUCAAGCCAAGGAAUUUACCCCAAAUGAGAACACGUUACCCUUAAAUGAGGCAGAACAGUGAGUGGGAUUUUCUAUAAAGGGUGGUUGCCCCUAUCUAUUAUGCCACUGAUUUUCGUCCAUUACGAAAAACCGACAGCCCCUGUCUAUGAAAAAGCAAACACUGUAAAAAAAAAUUGGAUUUAGCAUGUAUACUGUGAGUCUGUUUGUUUCUUUUGUGUGUUUGUUUUAGUUUGUUUACUAUUGAUGAAAUGUUGACAAAGAAAUUGUGAUGAUGAUUUUUCUUUUUCUAUCUAAUCAAUUUGGGCAGUGAGAUUAUCCAAUACGUAUCUUGGUGUUAUGACCUGGAAUGGCUUGUUAUUCCUGCUUUUGUAUGUUGCAUGCAACCGGUGUUUGCAUCCAUGCCGUGAUUGACUUCUGUUUUCACUUAUCAUAGCAUACAUCUUAUCCCCAUUUUCUUAAACAUAAAGAGAGAGAAAGAAUUUGUAUCUCUCCACCCACAAUCUUCCAGCAUACUUGAACCUAAAUAUGCAAUAAAAGAAGUUGAAUUUCUCCUUAACAAAUUUUAGGUGACCGUGUGUUUUAUAGAUGCAUUUUUGUUAAAUGUGCAAUUUUUUUUGUUGCAGCAUGGUGAUGAUGAUUAUUCACUCCUUGUAAACUUGAAAAAGUUGGAUGAUGAUCCUCAAUUUUCAAGGAAAAUUUCCAUCGAAAAAUUAAAAAAACUGCCCCAUGGUAAGCUUAGGUCUAGUGGGAAAAGGUGGUAGAUUUGUGACUUAGGUCACAUAUUCAAGCCCCACACCAUGCAAAGCGAUGCCCGAUAUUUAAUUGGACAAGUGUAGAGGGGGCGGAAACAUAAUCCACCGAGUUUAGAAAGAUGUGAUUGGUCCAAGGGAAAGGUCAUAGACAUAUUUCUUUGUUAUAAAAAAAAAGAUAUCUUCUUUUGAGAACUUCAAAAGUAUUGAUGACAAGGUGGAUAUACUGUCAUUUAAUUUUUUUUCUGUAGUUUUACCAAUACUCAACUUCAAUGUCUUACUAUUUAAGUUAUUGGAUUUCUGUUUCUUAACAUGCAUCUGCAAACUUGCAGGCUACAUUCAGAACAAUCCUGGAACAAUCUUCUUCUUCCUUAUCUCCAAGAGAAGUGCAUCGUUUGAUCUAUUGGUGUUCUUCGUGACUAUUAAAUUUUUGGAAGGUCUUCUUUCAAGUCAACUUGAAUGUAGGGUUGUGUAAUUUUUUUCAGAACAGAGGUGGCAGUUGGCUGUUCAAAUAAGCUACCCUUGCAUCAUCGACCGAAGUAGAAACUUUUGUGUACUCAUCAGAUAAUGCAAUGACAGCAGCUUCCAAUCUUGGGAAACUGAUCAUGGAUGCCCUUAUAUGCAUAUAGAAUUGAGAAAAUUCUUUAAAUCUGAAGUGUCUGGUAUCCUCAAUAGAUCAUAUGGGAUAAACAUGAACUAAGCAGUAAAAGCACAGCGCUUGGUGGAUGGCUAUCAUACGGGAUGGUUAUGAUGAAUAUUCACAUAAUGUAAACUUGAAAAGAUUGGAUGAUGGUAAUUGUCAAGGAAAAUUUCUAUCGAAAGUUUGCAAAAACUGCCCCUAUGAUAAGCUGAGCUCUAGUGGAAAAAGGUGGUGGAUUUGUGGCUUACGUCACAUCUUCAAGCCCCACACCAUGCAAAGCGAAGCCCGGUAUAUAAGUGGAGAAGGGUAGAGGGGCGGGGACAUUAUCCACGGAGUUUAGAAGGCUCUGAUAGGUACAACAGGCAGGUCAUAUGCAUAUUUUUCUGUUAUAAAAAAAAUAUUGUGGAGAAUUUCAGAAUUAUUGAUGACAAGGGUACAGUCUAUCUUAAACUCUAGAACUGUCCAGGAACAAUUUUCAUCUUCCUUAUCUCCAAGAGCAAUGCAUUGUUGAUCUACUUGAGUGCUUCCUGACUACUAACUUUCCGGAAGGUCUUCGUGCAAGUCAACUUGCAUGUAGGGUUGUGUUAUUUUUUCAGAACAGUGGUGACUGGUGGCUGUUUAGGAAUGAAACUCUUGCAUCAUCUAAGGAUCCAGAAGCUUUGGUGUACUCAUCAGAUUUUAUACAACGGCAGCUGCGUCUAGUCUUGUGAAACUGAUCGGAAUCGGAGGUUGUGUUGUUUUUCAGAACAGUGGUGACUGGUGGCUGUUUAGGAAAGAAACUCUUGCAUCAUCUAAGGAUCCAGAAGCUUUGGUGUACUCAUCAGAUUUUAUGCAACGGCAGCUGCGUCUAGUCUUGGGAAACUGAUCAUGGAUGCCCUUAUAUGAAUAUGGAAUUGAGAAAAUCCUUUGGACCUGAAGUGUCUAGUAUCCCUCAAUGGAUUAGAUGGGACAAACAUUGAACUAGGCAGUGAAAGGACAGAGCUUGGUGGAUGGCUAUCAUAUGGGUAACACUUCUUAUUUCAUUCAACAGAAAGAUCUAUAUUUUGUCACACUUCUUGUGUAAUAUCAAUUCGUGUUCUCCUCCAUUAAAAAAAGCCAACAUUCCUUCUUUAUGAAAAAGCAAGAACUACAAAACAAAAAUGGAUUUAACUUUAUGUUUCUUCUGUGUGUUUGUUUUACGUUGUUGACUGUUGAUGAAUUUACACAAAGAAAAAGUGAUGAUGAUUUUUCUAUUUCUGGGCUAAUCAAUUUGGGCAAUGAGAUAAUCCAACACUUAUCUUGGUGUUGCGACCCGGUAAGGCUUGUUAUUGCUGCCUCUGUCUCCUGCAUGCAACCAGUGUUUGCAGCCAUGCUGUGAUUGACUUCUGUUUUUCCUUAUCAUACCAUACAUCUUAUCCCCAUUUCCUUGAAAAUAAAGAGAGAAAAAGAAUGUAUGUCUCUAAGCACAAUCUUCUAGCAUACUUAUCUCUUUGUUUUAGCCUGUUAAUGUCGGUUUUAGUCUUCUCCAGCCUGUCCUAGAUCAGCCUCUCAAACUUAAAUUUCCAAUAAAAGAAGUUGUUGUAUGUGACCUUAACAAAUUGAAGGGAUUGUGUGUUUUAUUUAUGCAAUUUUGUUAAAUGUGCAAUUUUUGUUGUUGCUGGAUGGUGAUGUUGAUAUUGACUGCUUGUAAAAUUCAGAAGGUUGGACGAUGUUCUUUGAUUGUCAAAGAAAAUUUCCAUCUAAAGCUUGUAAGAACUUACCCCAAGGCUUAGCUCUAGUGGAAAAUUUUGUUGGAUUUGUGGCUUUGGUCACAUGUUCAAGCCCUAUACCAUGCAAAGAGAAGCGUGGUUUUUAAGUGGAUAAAGGGUAGAGGGGUGGGCCCAUUAUCCAUCGAGUUGAGAAGGCUAUAAUUGAUCCAAAGGGAGAGUCCUAGACAGAUUUCUCGAUUAUCUAAAAGAUUUCUCGAUUAUAAAAAAAAGAUCUUGCAGAGAACUUUGAGAACUUCAGAAAUAUUGACGACAAGGUUGGUAUAUUGUAGUUUGAAAAGUUCUUUUUUUCUUUAGUUUUACCAAUACUCCACUUCUUUGCCUUAAUGUUUAGGUUAUUGAAUUUCUGCUUCUUAACAUGCCCAUCUUCACACGUGCAUGCUAUAGUCUAUCUUAAACUCUGGAACAAUCCUUGAUCAAUCUUCAUCUUCCCUAUCUCCAAGUGCAGUGCAUCGUUUGAUCUACUUGAGUCCUUCCUGACUACUAAAUUUCGGAAGGUCUUCGUGCAAGUCAACUUGCAUAUAGGGUUGUGUUAUUUUUUCAGAACAGUGGUGGUUAUUCAGGAUAGCAACCUUUGCAUGAUUCACGGAUCUAGAUGCUUUGGUGUACUCAUUAUAUAUAUAUGCAAUGGCAUUAACUUCCAGUCACUUCCAGUCUUGGGAAACUAAUUGUGCAUGCCCUUAAAUGCAUAUGAAAUUGAGAAAAUCCUUUGGACCUGAAGUGUCUGGUAUCCCUCUAUGGAUCAGAUGGGAAAAACACUAACUACUUCCUAAGGUACUAGAUAUUGUUUUUGGCAGAGCUUGGUGGAUGGUUGUCAUACAUGUAACACUUCUUAUAUUAUUUGAUAGAAAGAUCUAUUUUUGUCACACUUCUUGUGAUUUCUCAAUUAGUGAACUUACCAGAACCUUAGUUGUGCGGACUCUUCACUUUUGAUGCCACACCCGUCUCAGAUUCUUAAAAAAUACACUACUUUUGGCGAAUCCGACAUGCACCCAUUGAAAUUUUUGAAGAGUCUGAGCAAUAUAGACCAGAACUACUCUGCUACUUCCGCUUAUGUUUUAAAAUGCUAGUUGUUCUUAGAUGUAAAUGUUCUAGGUGAUAAAACCAAAGAGAAAUAAUGUACGUUAAAAAUGAGGAACACGUGGCACCCUUUUCAUCCGAAUUUCAAUAUCCUAGUUAAGUCUGUCAUGUUGUUCAAUUAUUUCUAUGAACAUGAGGAUAUGCCCUUUUUUCUUCUGUAGGCUAAUAUCCUUUGGAACACCUGCUUGCUAAGAAACUUUUUUGCACUCUUCGAUUCCAUGAAGUUUGCACAUUAAGUGAAGGCACGGUCUUCUACUUCCCACCUUGCCACAUAGUUAAUGUAUGUGAUUUCCGGGUGUUACUUGACUGCCCUAUGGAACUUUCAUUCCUAGUUGUAUACAAUUGUUAUUUUUUCUUUGCUUUGUGAGAAAGCUUCAAUACGUAGAGUCCAAAGUUCAUCAAAUUCAGAGUAAGGCAGGAAAUUUCAAAACUUCUUGAUGCAAAAUUUUAAUACAGGCUGAGCUUUGGUUUGAAACUGUAAAAAUCUUGCAGCUUUGGAGGGGAGUAUUUAAUCCAUAGAUAUGGUAUUAAUCUCAAGUUCGAUGAGUAUUCUAGGGUGGCCUUUUGCCAGCCUCAACGACUUCAGAUCUUAGGUGAUAGAAAAAACAUACUUUCUUGCAUUUAUAAAUACAAUGAAUUAAUGCUAGUAAAAAUCUUUUUUAUGUGGUUAUCUCAUCUGAUAUAUUCAAUAGAAGCAACUUCUAGACUAUAGAAACUGAUGACAGAGGACCCUAUUUCCAUGCAUGUGGAGUUGGGAGAUUCAAAAGGAACUGAAAAGUUUGGUUGCCUUCAAUGCAUGAGAUGGGAAAAACUUGAACUACUUCCUAGGCUCUAAAGGAUAUUUUUUGCAGUGAAAGGACAAAGAUUGGUGGAUGACUGUCGUACAAGUAACACUUUUUAUUUCCUAUAAUAGAAAGAUCUACUUUUGUUACAUGUUUUGUUGCAUGUAAUUGAAAGAAGUUUGUUGUUGUAAGGAUUGUGAUGAUGAAUAUUCACUACUUGUUAAUUUUAAAUAUUGUAUUAACUUCAAUUGUGAAGAUAAAUUUCCAUCGAAAGCUUA